rnacentral:piRNA from 1 species
UCCACUGUGUGAUGGGCUCAUGUCCCUCCUU